rnacentral:lncRNA from 1 species
UUUGAUCCUCUUUCUCAUGACUCCUCGGGGGAUAUGAUGACUCAGGGUGUUGCCCCUUGAGCAAAAGAACUGAGGAGGCAGCAGGUGUCAGGGAAUAGGCAAAGUUAACCCAAGUGAUUGGAUGAACUGGUAAGCAAUUGAUAAAACAGCCCUGUUUUCAAUUUUCCAAUAAGUGGCAUGUAAUCUAACUCUUUCUCACACCUGAAUAGGUAACACAUAUUUGAUUAUUCUUUCUGUACAGUUUUUAAAUUUAAUCUGGAACAAACUGUAAUUUCUUUGACAAUAAUAAUGAUAGUGAUUCAGGAAUAGCAGAAAUGGGUAAGGUUGGUAUUUCAGAUCAAGAAUGGAACCAUCAUCAGCAUGGCAGCUUUGUCCCUCUUUACCCUAAAAUGUUCAUGAUUUAAGAAAAUAUUUGGCAGCAGGAGAGAUUCCUUUCCUCAUUUAACUUGUUCUCAUAGAAUAGGGAAGUAUUGGUGGGGAUUCAGCUUAUGAUAUGAACCAUAUACUCUUAGAUGACACAUGUGAAAAUAGGCUUGUCUGGAUAGCAGUAUAGCAGCACCCCACAGUGUGGCCUGGACUCACCCUGAAAAUGCUAUGCUGACCUGUUGCCACGGUAAUGAUGAUGGACACCUUGCCUUCCAUUUCAACUGUCACUCUGUGAGCUGAGAGCAGUUAUUCCAUUACCACGGUGCUAGUGACGGUCCCCAGAGAUGGGAAACUGCUGUACAGGCUCUUGCCUCCUGGAUACAGAAAUAGUUCCUUCAAGGUCAAGACGAUCUAUUGCCCACUCCAACCAGUGCUGCAGAAGAGUCUCCCUGUGGCUGCUGGAAAGUGCACACCCUGGAGAGGAUGACGACGGAGAUUCCACUAAGGUCCUGAUGGAAGUUGCUCCCUGCAACACUACAGAGGAUGAGAAACAGUUUAUUGUCCAGGUGGAUUCCACAGCGAAUGGAAAUUUUCCCUCCAAGGUCUUGGUGGACUCAAUACCCCCAGACAGAGCAGAAGAGGAGGACCCACUGAAUGCCCUGGUGGACACCAGAAGAAUUGAUGAUGGUCAUAGCAUCGCUGUUGUUGCCCUGGUUCACACAGAUUCCGGUGUUCCAGAUUCUGAGGAUCAGACACAGGGAGCAGCAAUUGAUUCCCACAAUGACACCAGCGUGGACAAGGACUUGGGGUCCAGCGGCUCAGAGGACCUGGAGCUGCCAAAGGGCUGGGGAUGAGCAGCCUUUCCCUGGCCCUCCUCUCCAUAGUCACAUUACGAUCUGUUUGUUAAAGAACACUUUUGUGUGGAAGCUCUCCAGUUAAUGUUGGAUGUUUUAUUUUGUAAAUGUUAAAGGAUAUUUCAUGGCAUAUAAUUAAUGUUGGUUGUUUUAUAUUAAAUAAUAGUCUGCUACGACCAGUUGCUUUCAAACUUCUUCCUUUUUUUUUGGUACCAGGGAUUGAAUUUGGAACGUUUCGCUUGCAAGGCAGGCGGUGGAACCACUGAGGUAAAUCCCUAGCCCUCAAACUUCUUUCUGUAAAGCACAUCAUCGAAAAAAAUUCUAAACAAAAGUACAACUUCAUGGACUUUAAAGCAGUCACCCUAGUGAUCCCACUACCUCCACUCCCCUGUCCUACACCGAUUUUGUCUGCAGGAGGCAGAACAUGACACAUGGGUGGAUUCUCCAGGCCCACAGAUGUGCUAGCCCAGAUGUGGGCUGGACUUAGGGGACACAUGUCCCACUGGAUACUGACUCUUGACCUUGAAAAUCUUGGUAGUAGAGACCUUAGGUCACCUAAGAGACCAAGUGCUCAAACUGUAAACCAAAACCCAUUUAUUUAUCCCAAAGUGCCAACAGUGCAAUUAAACUUGAAUUCUGAUGUUUUAGUUUAGAAAAAUGAUAGGUCUCCCACCACCUUAGCAGCCAUUAUGUAUAGUAGCUGCCCUCUUCCUAUGGUGCCUCGCCCCCUCCCCUGUGUGACGUCAUGCCAAGAUGGUUGCUCCCACCAAAGAAUAAACCCUUCUUCCCAGCAUGCCCCUGGUCCCGCCUAGAGAGUAACCUAAUACUCGCUCACCUCCUACCACCUAGUGACAUCACUGGCUCCUCCAUUCCCUAGUCACUACCCCACUCAACCCCACCUCUGCCCCUACAAACCCCACCCCAGUCUCUAUAAAAGACUCUCCCUGCCCCAGCCAUGUUGCUUUUGUCUCACUUUUGUUCAGAGACAGCUUGGCAGAUCUAUUCCCCUAAUAAAGGCUUGUUGUGGCCUGGUCUGGUCUUGGUCUUUGGCCCUUUUACCUGACAAAAAAUAACUCA